rnacentral:rRNA from 1 species
AACGAACGCUGGCGGCAUGCCUAACACAUGCAAGUCGAACGAGACCUUCGGGUCUAUUGGCGCACGGGUGCGUAACGCGUGGGAACCUGCCCUUAGGUUCGGAAUAACUCCCCGAAAGGGGUGCUAAUACCGGAUAAUGUCUUCGGACCAAAGAUUUAUCGCCUUUGGAUGGGCCCGCGUUGGAUUAGCUAGUUGUUAGGGUAAAAGCCUACCAAGGCGACGAUCCAUAGCUGGUCUGAGAGGAUGAUCAGCCACACUGGGACUGAGACACGGCCCAGACUCCUACGGGAGGCAGCAGUGGGGAAUAUUGGACCAUGGGCGAAAGCCUGAUCCAGCAAUGACGCGUGAGUGAUGAAGGCCUUAGGGUUGUAAAGCUCUUUUAACCGGGAUGAUAAUGACAGUACCGGGAGAAUAAGCUCCGGCUAACUCCGUG